CUACGGGGCGCAGCAGUUAGGAAUAAUCUACAAUGCGCGCAAGCGUGAUAGUUUGAAUCAGAGUGCGUUCCAAUUCGGAAUGCUUUUGUCGAAUCUAAAAAGUUCGACGAAUAAGGACUGGGUAAGACGAGUGCCAGCCGCCGCGGUAAUACUCGCGGUCCAAGUCGCAGCCAUUUGUUAUUGGGUCUAAAACAUCCGUAGCUUGCUUUUUAAGUUCCUUGUGAAAUCCGGCAUCUAAAGUGUUGGGCGUGCAAGGAGUACUAUUGAGCUAGAGACUGGAAGACGUAAGAAGUACGUUCGAAGUAGCGGUUAAAUGUGUUGAUCUCGAGCGGACUCACAAUAGCGAAGGCAUCUUACGAGGACAGUUCUGACAGUAAGGGAUGAAAGCUAGGGGCGCAAAACGGAUUAGAUACCCCAGUAGUC
rnacentral:rRNA from 1 species